UCCCCAAACUGAUUUGCUGAAGGAAGUGAAACCCACAGGUUCUGUGGCUCUGCAGUGCCCUCUCUAGGAUGCUUUUGUGGAUGUGCAGUGGCUCAAGGUGCAGCAGGUGAUUCUGUAGAAAGGAGUUUCUCCAAUAAAGCAGAGCUUCUCUUUCAACUCCAUGGACAUCAGAGAGAGUCCCUUUCAAAAAAGGAGGCUCAGGUCUGGAGAGACAAAGGCCUCUACUUUCGAAAAGGCCUCUUGGAUCAAGCCCAGACCCUCAUCAGAGCUGACAACAUGUCCAGCCUGCACUACUGCAAGAACUUCUUUGUCUAUGGUAGUGUGGUCAACUGAAGAAGCCGGCUUAGUUGCUCCAGUCAGGUGCUCACACUAAGAAAGGAUGGGUGAAGGUUAUAAAGUGGCUGUGAAUGAGAACUCGGUCUGGGCUCUACCAAGCAGAGAAGCCAUGCAGAGAUGAGAAAGGUGAAAGCCAUGAAACCAUGUUAAGCAGAAAAAUAAAAAUUCAAAACAGAAUGGGUGUAGCAUUAUAUAGUGUUCUGUGGAGUACCAUGAUCCUUCUUCAUGAAACAACUUCAAGGCAGACAUCUGGUGGUUUUUUCCAUUGCCCCCAAGGCAGAGAGUAACAGAAAGGAUGGAGAUGUGCAAAGAAGAAGUAAAAAGAUGGAAUCAGAAGUAGAAGAGAAGAGAACAAAAAGAGGAAACAGGGAAUAGAAGAGGUCUUCCCACCCCACCACCAUCAGCCCUGUCAAAAGUAACCUCACAGGCAUUUACCUCAACUGGGACUCCCUUAGAAAUGGUAGAAAAUUUAGUUCUCUAUGUUAUACAAAAACAGUCUUCUGCAUUGGCCUUUCAUAGUGCCUAAAAACACUUUUUUGCUUAUUGAAAAAAAGUAAUUUUAUAAUAUUAUUAAAUAAUAUUAAUUUGCAUUUUAAUGCAAAUACCCGUAGGAGAGGUAAAUCAUAGAAGCUAAUAUUUUGACAUUUUGUGGACAUUUAUAGAUAGCUAAUAAUGGUCCAUACCUCAAAAUGAAAAAAGGGCAGGUGCGUGUGUGUGUGUGUGUGUCAGUGGGGGUGACAAAAACUCUUGAGAAUAAACACCAAAGAAGAAGGUAUAAAGUGGGAGAAUAGCAAAAAUGAGGUGAAGCAUCUCAACUGGGAGACCUGGAAUGCAGAGAGACAGCUGACUCCCAUCAUCCAGGCCACGAACAUUUUCAUUGCGACCUUGUCAGUCACCUUCUAUCUGCUAUUAUUAUAUCCACUCCUGCCCCUCUAAAUCAUUCUCCACACAGCAAACCAGAGCUUCAAAAUACAUAAAGCAAAAACUGUUAGAACUGAAAGGAGAAAUAGACAUAUCUGCAAUUAUAGUUGGAGGCAUCAAUAGCCUCUUUAAACAAUUGAUGGAGCAACUAGACAGAAAAUCAGCAAGGAUAUAGAAGAACCUAGCAACACCAUCAAAUAACAGGAAUGAAUUGACACUUACAGAACACUCCAACCAAUAACAGAAGAAUACACAGGCCAGGCGCGGUGGCUCACUCCUGUAAUCCCAACUCUUUGGGAGGACGAGGCAGGUGGGUCACCUGAGGUAAUGAGUUCAAGACUAGCCUGGCCAACGUGGCAAAACCCUGUCUCUACUAAAAAUACAAAAAUUAGUCAGGCAUGGUGGUGCAUGCCUGUAAUCCCAGCUACUUGGGAGGUUGAGGCAUGAGAAUUGCUUGGACCCAGGAGGCAGAU
rnacentral:lncRNA from 10 species